rnacentral:rRNA from 1 species
CACGCAGGUGGCUUGACAAGUCGGAUGUGAAAGCCCCGGGCUUAACCUGGGAACUGCAUUCGAUACUGUCAGGCUAGAGUAUGGGAGAGGAAAGUGGAAUUCCCGGUGUAGCGGUGAAAUGCGUAGAUAUCGGGAGGAACAUCAGUGGCGAAGGCGGCUUUCUGGCCCAAUACUGACACUCAUGUGCGAAAGCGUGGGGAGCAAACA